UACAGAGGUCCCGAGCGUUGUUCGGAUUCACUGGGCGUAAAGGGUGCGUAGGUGGUGAGGUAAGUCGGAUGUGAAAGCUCCGAGCUCAACUCGGAAAUGGCAUUGGAAACUACCUUGCUCGAGGGUUGGAGGGGGGACUGGAAUACUUGGUGUAGCAGUGAAAUGCGUAGAUAUCAAGUGGAACACCAGUGGCGAAGGCGAGUCCCUGGACAACUCCUGACACUGAGGCACGAAAGCUAGGGGAGCAAACAGG
rnacentral:rRNA from 1 species